CACGUAGGGUCCGAGCGUUGUCCGGAAUUACUGGGCGUAAAGCGCGCGUAGGCGGCCCGGUAAGUCCGCUGUAAAAGUCCAGGGCUCAACCCUGGAAAGCCGGUGGAUACUGUCGGGCUAGAGUGCGGUAGGGGAGACUGGAAUUCCUGGUGUAGCGGUGGAAUGCGCAGAUAUCAGGAGGAACACCAGCAGCGAAGGCGGCGCUCUGGGCUGGAACUGACGCUGAGGAGCGAAAGCGUGGGUAGCAAACAGG
rnacentral:rRNA from 1 species